rnacentral:lncRNA from 1 species
CCUUGUUUAUACGUUGGCCAUUACUUUUCAUGAAUGUUUAUAAAAUGAGUAAAAAACUAUUGAGAUAUAACAACUCAAAGAUCUAAAUCAGCAAAAUAGACCGAAGUUUUAUUUACCUAUUCCGUAGCAGUCACUUUCGGUCGGAUAGCACAUUUUUAAUUAACACUAUCCCGGCAAAGAAAGUGUAUUAUUUGGAUGUUGCCGAUUGAGGAAAGUUCAGAAAAUGGCGUUUGACGCACAUAAAAUGUAAAGCGGUAUGAUCACAUGAUACCAAAACAAAAAGUAAAAUCACAAAAA